rnacentral:rRNA from 1 species
GGAGUGGACGCAUCACUGGUGUUCGGGUUUUCAUGCCAAUGGCACUGCCCGGUAGCUAAAUGCGGAAGAGAUAAGUGCUGAAAGCAUCUAAGCACGAAACUUGCCCCGAGAUGAGUUCUCCCUGACUCCUUGAGAGUCCUGAAGGAACGUUGAAGACGACGACGUUGAUAGGCCGGGUGUGUAAGCGCAGUGAUGCGUUGAGCUAACCGGUACUAAUGAACCGUGAGGCUUAACCUUACAACGCCGAAGGUGUUU